GCCGUGGACUCCCGGGAAGGGGCAAGGCAAGGCAAGAAGCACAGGAGUCCACGGCACUCUGCCUUGCCUUGCCGUGUCGUGUGUCGUCUGGAGGAGAAGCAGCUAAACAAUCCGACUCCCCUGCCUAUGCCGGGAGGGGGCGUGGCAAGAUAAGAAGGACUCCUCGGUGUCGUGCAGGGCACGGCAGUCUCCUCCAGUCCGGAGGAGAGCACAAGCCGCACAUAGGGGCUGUGUUCGGGUCUCCCCCACUGGGCUAUUCCAACAAACACUGAGCGGUGGCUUUAACUGCGCGCAUCCAAGUGAACAACCGAGAGAUGGUCCUGUAAGGGAGAGAAGCUCCUUUUCUGCAGCAACGACGUGGAGUCGAGAGGAGACGGCACUGCGGUCCGAGGAGGAGGAGGAGGAGGACUCCACCCCUCCCCCUUUCCACAUCCGCUCCUGGCAGAGGGACGAGACGGCGUAGUUAUCACUCUGCAGCAUGCUCAGUUCGUUGAUGGAUAUGGCAAAGUGAUACUACAACGGCACAGCAGGCGAGGAGUCCUUCUUUCCACCUCCCUUCCCGGCAGAGGCACGGGAGUCGUCGGAUUGUUUACCUGCUUCUCCUCCAGACAGCAGGACACACGGCAAGGCAAGGCAGAGUCAAACUCCCUCUGCAGAGGCACUCUCUAACCCCUGGACUUUGGGGCGGAAGUCCAGGGUCUCCACAGCCCCUGGGGGCCCCCAUAUCCUCUAGUCUCUCCUGGGUGGUGUGGUGGUGGUGGUGGGGGGGCUCCAAAGGCCUUUAUGUCCCGGAUCCCAAAUUGCUUACGUGCACCUCUGCUCGUUUGUAAUUGCGCCACGUAGUACUGUCUGCAUUGUGGUUGCUGGCAGGUUGCCCGGCAAGAGGACUGAUUUCCCGUUGGCCCAUGAAGGAUUGCCAGAAUACAUUGGCACAGAAAUCCCCAGACCCAGCAGAGGGUGACAUGGGUUACUGGAGCUCAGAUUGAAACCCUUUUCCAUCACGUGUGUUCAGGACCCUUUUCCAGGGCCUUGCGUGGCACCUGAAAGACUCACAAACGGACUGUAGGCAGGAGUGCAGCCGAAGGGAAGCUUGAGAAGCAGCUCCCUACUUACAAAGCCACUUUUCGGGGGCAAAUGUUUGGGGUUGGGAGAGAUGAUUAUCAGGCUUGGCGCGGGCAGGGAGGGAACUCCUCGAAUGCUUCGGAGAGGAUCUGCGUUCCUGGCAGCGCGCAGCUGCCUCCGGGGAAGCAGGAAGCCUGGGGAAGAGCAAAGUCGAAGAUCGGCUACUCCUUGUGUGUAAGGACGGAGGAAGGGUGCCACUCUGUGCACACGUACUUGGAGUGAGCCCACUUGAACUCACUCCCUCGCCUGGAGUCGGGCUGUAAGGAGGAGGAGGCGGCGGCUAGAUGAGCGUCCGCCGCCCGCCCGUGUCUUCUUUCUCCUCCAGUUCAGAUCAGCCUUCAUCACUGGACUGCUGCCUUGUUAAUGUGCUGCCUCCACUGUGACCACCUCGCCGUGGCUGAUUCGCAACUGUUUCCAGCUGCCUUAAAAACCAGAACGAUUUUCCAGGUGCCUUAAAAAACUAGAACGAUCUCCCACCGGACCCGAGCCGAGGGUUACAUCAAAAAACGUGUUCCUGAAGCUUAGACUCUGAAAUCCUUUUUCGUGUGUUCGUGACUCUUUCUUGUUCAUGGCAUGUUUCAAGAUGCAAAGAGAGAGAGGGGCUCAUUUGGGGGGUGGGCGCUUAUUAACUGAGAGAAGAGGAACUCUGACAAGGUGCCCUGUUGCUCAUAUUGCGGGCGGAGAAGGGCCAUCGAAAUGCUUUGGUUCCUCAGAUGGACAGAAUAAUUUUUGGGCUUUGGAAUGGCCACAGGACUGCAUCAGACACCCAGGGGGGUUGGUUGUUUGCACUGUGGUUUUUAAGGAUGGUCGCCAAAUGGCCAGACAGGAGAGCACUGCCUUUCUAAACAGGCAUUGGGAUUGAGAACCAGCAGCGCCCAGAGUUAAAUCCUCAAAUUAUACCCAAGACAUGUUGUUCCAGGUGAUCAUUUCCCGUUUUGCAGAGAGCAAAAGCCCUGGCUUUUUUCACACAGGGCUUUUAGUUCGCAUCUCCUCCAAAAUGGAAGGUGUGUAUUCACAUAUCACCCAAAUUUACCCCCGAAGUCCCUGCAAGUAUCCAGGAGCACUUCACACACAAUCUGGAUUUUUCAGAAUUCGUAGAGUGCAAUGCAGAACCUACUGACUAUUGGAUUAACCUCCAGAGGGAGAGUGUAGAACAGCCCUGGAAAUGGCCAAAUGGUUCGCUUGUUAGUGACUGGUUUCAAAUUAAAGGCGAAGGACUCUGUGCCUACCUGAAUGAUAACAUAGUCAGCUCAACAAACUGUGACAACCAUCGAAACUGGAUAUGCAAGAAGCCUGUCCUUGCUGCUGAGAAGGAAGCCUUACUAUAAGUGGAGAUGUGUGAAACUUCUGGAAGAGCUCCACUUUGCAGUUCCAUUUGCAGUCUUGAUUAGCUCAUUUCCAUGCAAAAUAUGGCUGACAGGACUCUUCAAUGAGUUCCAUUUCAAUGAAUUCAAGUUGCACAUCAGCUCCUUGAAUAGUAUCUGUUCUUUGGUUUAAGUGAAGGCAGUGGCUGCAUGUGUCUCUUUAAUGAAAAUGAAGGUGACUUAGCAUGACUCCUGAUGAAGCAAUCACAAAGAUGUCUGUUCUUGGAAGCAUCCCUCAAGAAGAUUCAUCAAAAACAUGACUGAUUUUAGAUGCAUCAUGGUAGUGUUUGGAUCAGGAUUCUGAAAUGAAGUGUUUGGAAAUAUUUCCUCAUCUCAGUGGAACUGCAUGUGCCCCUGUAUUCUCCCUACAAGCACUAGCACAGUGUAAAUUAUUUGGAUGUGGCACAUAAGCUAGUAUGAAUGUCAAUAUUAGUACUUAGAUAAAAUAUUAAAGUCCAUAUGAAACAUUUUCUUCAA